rnacentral:rRNA from 1 species
UAGAGUUUGAUCCUGGCUCAGAAUGAACGCUGGCGGCACGCUUAACACAUGCAAGUCGAACGAGAUCUUCGGAUCUAGUGGCAGACGGGUGAGUAACGCGUGGGAACCUGCCCUUUAGUAGAGAAUAACUCGGGGAAACUCGAGCUAAUACUUUAUACGCCCUUCGGGGGAAAGCUUUAUGCGCUAUGGGAUGGGCCCGCGUUAGAUUAGUUUGUUGGUGAGGUAACGGCUCACCAAGGCUACGAUCUAUAGCUGGUCUGAGAGGAUGAUCAGCCACACUGGGACUGAGACACGGCCCAGACUCCUACGGGAGGCAGCAGUGGGGAAUAUUGGACAAUGGGGGCAACCCUGAUCCAGCGAUGCCGCGUGAGUGAUGAAGGCCUUAGGGUUGUAAAGCUCUUUUGUCAGGGAAGAUAAUGACGGUACCUGAAGAAUAAGAUCCGGCUAACUCCGUGCCAGCAGCCGCGGUAAUACGGAGGGAUCUAGCGUUAUUCGGAAUUACUGGGCGUAAAGCGAGCGUAGGCUGAUUUGUAAGUUGGAUGUGAAAUCCCAGAGCUUAACUCUGGAACUGCAUCCAAAACUAUAUUUCUUGAGUUUGGUAGAGGAGAGUGGAAUUCCUAGUGUAGAGGUGAAAUUCGUAGAUAUUAGGAGGAACACCAGUGGCGAAGGCGACUCUCUGGGCCAAUACUGACGCUGAGGUUCGAAAGCGUGGGUAGCGAACAGGAUUAGAUACCCUGGUAGUCCACGCAGUAAACGAUGAAUGCUAGAUGUUGGAAACAUUAGUUUUCAGUAUCGCAGCUAACGCAUUAAGCAUUCCGCCUGGGAAGUACGGCCGCAAGGCUAAAACUCAAAUGAAUUGACGGGGACCCGCACAAGCGGUGGAUCAUGUGGUUUAAUUCGAAGCAACGCGAAGAACCUUACCGGCCCUUGACAUACCAAUCGCGAACUUAAGAGAUUAAGUUUUUCACUUCGGGUGGAUUGGAUACAGGUGCUGCAUGGCUGUCGUCAGCUCGUGUCGUGAGAUGUUGGGUUAAGUCCCGCAACGAGCGCAACCCCUACCUUCAAUUGCCAGCACGUUAUGGUGGGAACUUUGAAGGAACUGCCGGUGAUAAGCCGGAGGAAGGUGGGGAUGACGUCAAGUCCUCAUGGCCCUUACGGGCCGGGCUACACACGUGAUACAAUGGUAACUACAAAGAGCAGCGAUGGAGCAAUCUUCAGCAAAUCUCCAAAAGUUACCUCAGUUCGGAUUGUACUCUGCAACUCGAGUACAUGAAGUUGGAAUCGCUAGUAAUCGUAGAUCAGCGCGCUACGGUGAAUACGUUCCCGGGUCUUGUACACACCGCCCGUCACACCAUGGGAGUUGGUUUUACCUGAAGCUGGUUUGCUAACCGUAAGGAGGCAGCCAACCACGGUAGGAUUAGCGACUGGGGUGAAGUCGUAACAAGGUAACCA